rnacentral:rRNA from 1 species
UACGGGGGGAGCAAGCGUUGUUCGGAUUUACUGGGCGUAAAGGGCGCGUAGGCGGUCAGCACAAGUCAGUUGUGAAAUCUCCGAGCUUAACUCGGAAAGGUCAACUGAUACUGUGCGACUAGAGUGCGGAAGGGGCAACUGGAAUUCUUGGUGUAGCGGUGAAAUGCGUAGAUAUCGAGAGGAACACCUGCGGCGAAGGCGGGUUGCUGGGCUGAUACUGACGCUGAGGCGCGAAAGCUAGGGGAGCGAACGGG